UACAGAGGGUGCGAGCGUUAAUCGGAAUUACUGGGCGUAAGCGCGCGUAGGCGGCUUUGCAAGUCGGGUGUGAAAUCCCCAGGCUUAACCUGGGAACUGCAUUCGAGACUGCAUUGCUAGAGUAUGGGAGAGGGAAGUGGAAUUUCCGGUGUAGCGGUGAAAUGCGUAGAUAUCGGAAGGAACAUCAGUGGCGAAAGCGACUUCCUGGACCAAUACUGACGCUCAUGUGCGAAAGCGUGGGGAGCAAACAGG
rnacentral:rRNA from 1 species